AUGAGGUCGAUUAAUAACCCUACGGUGGCCUCCAAAUGCUCAAGGGAAAGGAAAAGCCACACGUCUGUCACUUCGAAUCAAAAGCGAGGGAUGAUUAGGCUUAGCGGGGGAAAGCGUACUGACAGUUCAGAUAGACCGAAAGCCGGGCCUCUUAUGCAAACGAUCUAGUUAUGGGUGCAGAGGAAGAGUUUUUGAAGGAAAUUUAGGAUGCUUCUCCAGUAAACGUGGCAAUGAUGAGAAAGUGGGGCAGGCUUCUUGCUGAUGGGUGGAAGCUUUAGUGGUCUGGGUGGGAGGCUAAACCCUCCAGAACGUUCCCUCAGUUUUCAAGCCUAAUCCAGAUCAAAGCCCUCUUUUCAGUUCCAUGAAGGCUGGGAGAGGUCAGGAAGCCGUAGAAGAAAACGCUGCCUUGUGAGCUUGAAGCGAAGACACUGUCUUCAAACCUAACUGUGCAAGACAAGACAGGAAGCCAAAGGGGAAGCUCCGGCAGGCUCUCAGGAAGUUCCAGCUGAGAGCACGGGAUGCUGUGGCCAUACCACACCUCAGCAUUUUGGGAUUAUGCUCAAGCAACAUUAAUCUAAUUUAAAAAAUCUCUGAGACAGGGGCUUCCUAUGUAACAUAGGCUGGUCUCAAACCUGGAAUCCUCCCGACUCACUCUCCCAAGCUCUAGGAUUACAGGCUGGGGGCUAUCUAUGGCAGACAUUCCGUCCUCACUAUUUUCAGAGGACCCGCCGUCAGCACCAUGCCUGGCACACUGCAAGCAUUGAUGGAACAGCUACUACAUGCUGGGUCCUGCCCUCAGUGCUACUCUCCAAUGAGUUCUCAACCCAAGGGAUGCACGUGUCCUACUUUCAUGGACUGCUGAGUUUGAUGGAUGAGAAGAACACGAACAAAUGCUUAUUCAAAUAGAAACUGAAUGCACUGUGCUAAAUGUGACCAAAACUGAGGACCCCCCAGGGGAGCCAGCCCUGUUAUCAGGACACCCUGGCAGCUUCCAGAAAGACUCGUGGUGAGAAACAGCAGUCUCCAGCCAGCAGCCACAAGGGAAUUUAGGAUGAGUCCUCCAGCCUUGUGGUGGCUGCAGCCUACUCUGUGGCCUGACCAUGACAUCCUAAGAGACCCUCAGCCACACAAUCAGCUUCAGCUUAAGCCAUCCCAGGAUGCUGACUUCAGAACCAUGAUGAUCCUGGGGGCCCCCCAAAAGUCCCCAUGGAGACCAAAUCCCACGUGUAACGGCAAAGGGCCUUUAUUUUCAAGCUCUGAGAUUAGUCUCUCUGUCCAACACAGCGGCUCAAGGGAUCCUUUUCUCUCAGCCUCCACCACACUGAGACUGUCAGCCUGCUCCUGUUCGGUUCCUGGAGGUGAAAUGUCAAGCUGCCUAUUUGAGAUUUUCCUUCUCUUGCAAUGUCUAUUGGUCCAUGAAUAAGAGCCUGGGUAACAAUAAACUACCCCUGCCUCAA